UAAGACGAAGAAGAAGAGAUAGCGUUGUGCUGCUGCUCACCUGUAGAGACGCCGCCAUCUUGUGGAAGGCCAUGUUUGAGGCCCUGGAAGAUGACUUCCUGAGAGGGAACAGCAGGAGCAGAAUGCAGCCUCUCUCGCCACCGUGUGACCGGCAUCCGGCAGCACCUCCACACCUGAGCCCUCGGUCAGCUGUGUGACAUAGCCACGCCCACAAACAGGUGUCUACUUUCAUCGCGGUGCCAGUGGAACGAUCUGGUGAGUGACAGACAUCUUGGAGUUCCUGUCCUGUCGUCCAUCUUGGAGCUUGUGCCCGUGGACACGCCCAUCUUCCGCUCAGAGCACUCUGGGCAAGCGCAGUGCAGCGUCGUACCAGCAGCGCCACCCCACAGGUCUCCCAGCUACUGCUGCUGACCCUGGCUCCGCCCCUUUCCUCCCAAGUCCCCUCCAGUAUCCAUUUGACUGUUUGCAGUCCUGCAAAACCAGCACUGAAACCCAAGAGCUGCAGCAGCACCGUGGCUCUGCGAGUGUGAGCUCAGCGAAUAUGACAUGGUCGUCGUCAUCAUCCCCUAAAAGACCAGGAGCUCUAGGAGAAGAGACAAAGGUACUAAACAGGAGUUCUAGCCAGUUACUGGUUGGGCAGCGUGUUGGCUUCUUGGCUGCCUAUACUGGUCGUGGACGAUGCUAGAUGAUGCAUCGAAUGACGUUAACUCAAAGUGAGAAAACUGAGAGACAGCAAGAGACCGUGAGAGCGCGUUCACGAGAAAUUUUGAAGAACCCUCCAUACCUAACCUUCUGAAGAGCUUUAUUAGUGCCUCAUAUUUUCAGCAGAAUGAUUUCCGCCCACGUGUAAAGCAUGGCACGCUUUCCCUAUUCGCCAAGUGGAGCUCGACACGUCCUCGCCGCUCCUCAUGUUAGUUGUUACGUGGUGCGUCACAUCACUUUAAUCAUCAUUCUCGUUAUCUGUCAUUAUGGUCGCUUAUUCUGUCACUCAGAAAGGAAAGUACUGAAGAUCAUUUACCACGUUGCAGUGUAGUGUUUGUGUCACGUGAUUAUUUUUUUUAAAUUCCCAGUUUAAUUUCGUGGCUGUAAAAUGACCCCGUCAGGACGGAAGUAAAGAGCGACGUUAGCGCUAAUUUGGGCUUUUCAUGUUUAAUGGCUGUAAAGUGUAGAAUUGUACAAGACUCCAACCUUCCUGCCGUUUGUGAUCCAUGUGUGAAACGAUGCUCCAAAUAUGAGUGAAUUCCUGAAAUCAUCAUUCACUCUAUUUCCCUUAGGCCCUGAUUUACUGAGGAUCCAAAUGACAAGUGCUAAUUUAUGGAUAAACUGAGAUUUAUGUUAUAUUGAUGUGGUGUGGGGGAUUUGCAAAUAAAUAACUGCGUGAAGCACAAAGUUGUUGAAUGGUGUCAGGAUGUUCUGCCACUUUUUCACUUUUUCUUUAGGGAUGAUUUUAUGCUAGC